GAUGUUAUGCUUUCUGUGAUUGAAGAUGAUCCUACUUCUGGUCAUAACCGUGAUACUAUCAUCAAGGCAAAUGUUAUGGUAUGCAUUUUCUCUUUGUUCUGAAAUUUGCAAUGUUUUUAUUUAGAAACUAUGAAGCACGGACACAAACACGGAUACGAGACACAAUAUGGACACCGACACAUCGACACGGAUAAUAAUUUGAGAAAAUAAUGUAGUUCAGUGUAAUCAUAGGUGUCGUGUUGAUGUCGGACACGCGUCGAUGUCCGACAUCAAGACACGCCUAAUUCGAGGAGUGUCCGUGCUUCAUACUUCAAGUAAAAUGAAAAUCAGAACAAUUAUUUACAUGCAAAUAACUAAAUUUAACACACAACUUGGUGUAAAAAACAAACUAUUGUAACAUCAUAGCUUAAAAUGUUAUCAAAUAAUUCAGAAAUGGGGAUGGGUUGUUUUUAUUAUUUAAUUUGAACAAAUUAUUAUAAUUAUUAGUCAACAAGUCAACUUUUCAUAUUCAGAAUCUUAUGUUAGCUGGGUCAGACACAACAUCAACGACAAUGACAUGGAUCCUAGCCAUAUUGAUGAAUAAUAUGAAUGCUUUAAAACAUGCACAAGAGGAGAUUGACCAUCACAUAGGUAGGGACAGAAGGGUAGAAUCAUCAGACAUAAAAAACCUAGUUUAUUUGCAAGCAAUUGUGAAAGAAACUUUAAGGUUAUACCCUCCAGGUCCACUAUUAGUACCCCAUGAAGUAACAGAAGAUUGUUACAUUCAAGACUAUUAUGUACCAAAAGGGACACGUGUGUUUGCAAAUGUGUGGAAAUUACAUAGAGAUCCAAGUAUUUGGUUAGAGCCUGAAAAGUUUUUACCUGAAAGGUUUAUUAAUGAGAAUGGAGAAAUUGAUCAUGAAAGUCACCAUUUUGAGUACCUUCCUUUUGGAUUAGGGAGAAGAGCUUGUCCUGGAUCGUUGUUUGCUACACAAGUUAUUCUCAUUACACUUGCUCGUUUACUUCAUGGGUUUGAUUUGGAAGUGCCAAUGGAUGAAGUUGUUGAUAUGAGAGAAGGGUUGGGUAUUACCUUGCCUAAGUUAACUCCAUUGCAAGUUGUUUUGACCCCGCGAUUAUCAUGUGAACUCUAUCGAUUAUAAACAUUUUCCCUUUUGUGUGUGAUCGGAUAUGCUGCUACACAUGUUCAUUGAACAAUGAUGUAUUUGAUCUAUAUUACAAUCUUUUACGUUAGUUAUUCAAUGAAUCUAAAAUACAGAAUCAUGAUUGUUAUCUUUACUCUUUAGUAUAUAUUUGAGACCACAUUGAUUAUACAGAAUCAUGAUUGUUAUCUUUACUCUUUGGUAUGCACGAACGGCCAAACCA
rnacentral:lncRNA from 1 species